rnacentral:rRNA from 1 species
UGCUUGGGAAUAUGCCUUUAGGUGGGGGACAACAGUUGGAAACGACUGCUAAUACCGCAUAAUGUCUACGGACCAAAGUGGGGGACCUUCGGGCCUCACGCCUAAAGAUUAGCCCAAGUGGGAUUAGCUAGUUGGUUGAGGUAAAGGCUCACCAAGGCAACGAUCCCUAGCUGGUUUGAGAGGAUGAUCAGCCACACUGGAACUGAGACACGGUCCAGACUCCUACGGGAGGCAGCAGUGGGGAAUAUUGCACAAUGGGCGCAAGCCUGAUGCAGCCAUGCCGCGUGUGUGAAGAAGGCC